GAUGAACGCUGGCGGCGUGCCUAAUACAUGCAAGUCGAGCGAACAGAUGAGGAGCUUGCUCCUCUGACGUUAGCGGCGGACGGGUGAGUAACACGUGGAUAACCUACCUAUAAGACUGGGAUAACUUCGGGAAACCGGAGCUAAUACCGGAUAAUAUAUUGAACCGCAUGGUUCAAUAGUUAAAGACGGUUUUGCUGUCACUUAUAGAUGGAUCCGCGCCGCAUUAGCUAGUUGGUAAGGUAACGGCUUACCAAGGCAACGAUGCGUAGCCGACCUGAGAGGGUGAUCGGCCACACUGGAACUGAGACACGGUCCAGACUCCUAAGGGAGGCAGCAGUAGGGAAUCUUACGCAAUGGGCGAAAGCCUGACGGAGAAAAGACGCGUGAGGGAUGAAGGUCUUCGGAUCGUAAAACUCUGUUAUUAGGGAAGAACAAAUGUGUAAGUAACUAUGCACGUCUUGACGGUACCUAAUCAGAAAGCCACGGCUAACUACGUG
rnacentral:rRNA from 1 species